AUGUGGACAUGCUCUAAAGGCUGAUAAUUGAGAAUGAGCGCCAAUCUAAUUUUCUUUAUUCUCCUUCCUCUUCAAUUCCUCUUCAAUUCGUAUUCAAUGCUCUCUUCUCCUUCUCACGUGGUUGAUUCUAUCAACAAACCUUAAUCGCCAAGCAAGUUCUUCUGUUUUUUGUGUAGAUCUACGGCAUUAUUUCAACUAGAAAAAGAAUAAAAAAAUCUAGAUCUCUUGGGUUACAAUUGAAAGCAACCAGACACUUGAAAUUUAGGGUUUGAUGGUGAUACUAAAAUGGGGGUGAGAGUUGACAAAAGAGAUACUCCUUUGCUUCUCUGAGUCUGUACAAAAAUUUGAAGUUCUGACACCAGGUAUUCGAUUAAAUGCUAACUCGAGAUUCACUAUUAAUUUUAAGGUCAAUUUGGUUUUCUUCAAUGGUAUUUUGGGAAAUCGAUCUGUAGGUUCAUGUUGAUUGUGGUUCCUUAUACUUCAAGAUUUGGAGGGUGCCCAUUUGUAUUUUCUUUUGUACGAUGAUUACAAAUAUAUGAUUAAAAGUUCAAUAAUAAUAAAUUUCUUUGAGUUAAGUGAUAUAGAAGGUUUUAUGCAUUUCAAAAUACAAAACUCACUUCUUUGAUCCGUUUCCUUUUUAGAUAUGUUUUUUUUUUUAUUAUAAAUUUGUGCGUAUUUCGAGUUUUCGUGUUUCAUCCGUGUUUUAUCCCCUUCUCUAUCUUCACCAUCUCCUCUUUGUUCAGCCAACGCUAGCUAAUAAGUGAAAGUUGACAAAAUUUUAUCUUCAUUCCAAGUAUGGUUCCAUUUCACUGAUUUUUGUCUAGAUUUGUUAGAUUUUGGUUUCCAAGUGGUUCAAAGAAACGUUGUUUAAGUUGUUGUAGUUGACCACUUCACUUAUUUUUUGUUCUUGCAAAAUAUCUUAGUCCACAUUUGUUUUUAACCAUUUCAUAUGUCCUCUUGACGGUUUUAGGCUAAAUUUUAGCAGAUUAUGGCCGCUAUGUAUCAACACUAAUGGAACAUAAGAGCCUUUAUGAAGUAAAUCUCCCUAAUUAACCUUUGGUAAGAAAUUUUAUCCACUUUUUUAACAAUAUAGGGCUUAUCUUUGUGUUUUAGAAAACCUUGGGACCCAAUUUUCUGAUUGGUUUAAGUUGAAUGUAAGUUCACAUGUCAUCUUAUGUGUGUUUUUAUUUUUUAUAGUGGCUUGCUUAAAGAUUGAUGAUAUGUUAAAUUACAUGUCAUCCUAGAGAAACUGUUGUUAUGGAUGGUGGGUGGUUAAUGCAGAAGAUAAGGAUGGUGGGUGGCGGUGCAAGAGUGCUACCCCGCCACCUGCCGGUGGUGAAAGACCACCACGCGCGACCCGCACACAUUGUCGUACCUUUAGGUGUACACACCUUGCGCCUUUUUAUUCCUUCUUUUGUUCUCAAAUUUAUAUCAUUUCUUUUUUGGGUGUAAACGAGCCAAGUCGCUCUUGAGCUAAUCUAGAUCGGCUAAGAGCUCGAAUAGAGUCAAGUUUAGAUGAACGCAAUCCUAAGCUCGGGCCUAAAAAUAAAAAUUUGUUUAAUAAAUGAGCCUAAGCCCGAGCUUCCUUUAUCGAGAUCAAGUUGGCUCGCAAGCCUAAACGAGCCCAAGGCCGAACUUUUUUAAUAAAUUGCAGCUCGAACUCACUUACUUACGAAAAACUUAAUGCAUUAAUGAUUAAACCUCCUAAACUGUUAUAUUUGAAAAGUUAAUAGUUGAUAUAAAUUUAGAAACGAAUUUUGUGUUUCAUAGUUAUUAAAGGACACUUAAUCUUUAAUGUUUUGCAGUUUGUUGAUCUUCUUUAUUUUAUCAUAUGGGAAGUUAACAUCUUUACAUGAUUCCAUGAGACAUGGAUAUAAUAAGCUCUAAUUGCAUAACUAUACAACUUUCUUUUGUUGAUAGAUGUGACCUGCAUUGGUAAAAACUGCAAAAGGAGGUGUAGACGUGAUUGGAACAUAUGUAUUUUGGAAUGGAUGAGCCAUCACUUGAUUUUCUAAAAACAUCUAAAAGUGCUAGGUUGGAUGUCUAAAUGUUGACUGAUUAAUCAUUUUUUUGCAGUUUUUUAUGUGGUUUUAGUACUACUUUGGUGAGAGGUAUGAUUUACCCAAAUUUGUGAAGAUAGUUCAGGAUGUCGGUAUGCUUUUUAUUUUUUGGAUCAGCCCAUUCGUUGCUGCAGAAUGGAACUUUGGGUAUGUCUAUAACUAUUGUUUCUUAGUUUAAUAUCGAUGUUUGGUUUUUUUAGCUUAAAGGUAAUAUAUGUUUUAAAUUCUUAACGAUUUACCAUAAAAUAUUUAGUUGUAUGCCUGUUUGAUUAAACUAUUUACCAAGGUGAGAAAUUGCUUAUGGUUUCUGUUUGAUUACACUAUAUUCAGUGUUAGUGGAAAAUGUAGCAUUAUAUGCAAAACUUCACAACUCAACAUAUUAUUGUGAUUGUGAUCAGGUUAGUAGCAUGUAAACUAUAGUUAAAGAUUGCGAUUUUUGACUCAUUUGUAUACACUAUCAAUUGGUUCGGGUCGAUAUUGGUUAGGAGCAAAAUGAGUUCGGGUCAAAACGGGUUUGGAGCAAAAUGAGUUUGGGUUAAAAUCACAUAUUCAAAAAAAUUAUCAAUUUGGUUCUGGUUGAUAUUGGUUAGGAGCAAAUGAGUUCGGGUGAAAAUGGGUUUGGAGCAAAAUGAGUCCGGGUUAAUAAAUUUUUUUAAAUUCUUUUGGUAACUAUGUUUACAUAAAAAAUGACUGUCACUCAAAAGGAUAACCGGUUAGGAGCGAACUGAGUUCGGGUUAAAACAAAACAUUUGGAAAAAGAACUACAAUUUGGUUAAGGUCAAAACAGGUUUGGAGCAAAAUGAGUUUUGGUGAAAACUGUAUAUUAAAAAAAACUAUCAAUUUGGUUCGGGUCGAUAUUGGUUAGGAGCAAAAUGAGUUCGGAUCAAAACGGCUUUGGAGCAAAAUGAGUUUGGGUUAAAAUCAUUUUGAUAGUUUAUUGUUAUUUCUUUUCUUAGGGACUCAUUUAAGUAUCUCCUACAUUUCAAUUUUAAUCUUUUACCCAUCAUAUUGUUUCUUCACUAUUUAUAUUAGUAUAAAACUAAGAAUGAAUUUUUGAUGUCUUUAUGUGUUACACUGAUACAGUACAUGGAUCAACAUUUCAUUCAGUACCCUUCACAUGACUGGAAAAAUAGAGAAACUAUAUAGUUUAUUAGAGGUAAAUUUAUUCAAUUAUUGAACAUGUUGAAGGUAAAAUCUACAUAUUUUUUUUACUUUGGUUGUGAAACUUGCUUAUGUUGUUGCUGUUGAUACCUUUAUAAGAUCAUACAAAUAUCACUAUUAGAAUUUUGAAAGUGUCAGGUUUGAUUUUGACAGUCUUGAUUUUAAGUUGAGACUGAUGUGUAUUUGUGUAGUUAUAUAUCAAAGGUUCAUGAUUCCUAACAAAACCAUACAUGGAGCACAUCAAAGGGGAAAAAUUAUAAAGUUUUUUUUUAUUUAAAUAUUGAAUAUUUAAUACUAAGAAGUGCUUUGAUUAUGAAACUCAAACCUGCUGUUCUUUACUUUCAAGUUUAAUGUGAAUACAUGGAUGCAAAGAUUUAUGUCAAACUAAUCAUGAAUCACUUCAAAUGGACCAAAGGGUGCAAAGAAGACCAAAGUUUUUCUAUCAAAAUUAAGUCUUUAAACUACUAAAUUUGACUUUCAGUUUCAGUUAUACAGGUAUACGUUUGUGGAUCAAUGGUGACAGAAGAGCAUGUUGUUGAAUAUGGCUUAACUAAAAUAUUUUGACUGUCACUCGAAAGUAUAACACGGGUUAGGAGCGAACUGAGUUCAAAAAAAUCAUAUUGAAAAAAACUAUCAAUUUGGUUUAUGUCAAAACGGGUUUGGAGCAAAACGAGUUUCGGUUAAAAUUGUAUAUUAAAAAAAACUAUCAUUUUGGUUCUGGUCGAUACUGGUUUGGAGUAAAAUGAGUUCGGGUCAAAAUGGGUUUGGAGCUAGGUAAAUGAGUUUGUGUUAAAACUGUAUAUUUAAAAAAAACUAUCAAUUUGGUUCGGGUUGAUACUGGUUAGGAGCAAAAUGAGUUCGGGUGAAAAUGGAUUUGGAGCAAAAUUAUCUUAUUAAUAACACAGUGUGGAAAUUGGAAGUCAUAUCUAUGCAAAAGCAUAGUUCAUACUGUUUCAUUUGGUAACCCAUUAGAGAUAAAACAUAAGCGAAAAUGACCCGUUUUUAGCCUUUUUGGUAAAUGGGUUCGAAGGUAAUUAAUUUUGUUGAUGUUUGCUUGAUAAGUUUUUGACCUAAUUGUUUAUGUUGUUAGAUUUUAUGAUUUUGACCUAAUUGUGAUUUUGACUAAAUUUUUGAGUUGUUAGGUUUAGGUAUUGAGCGAUUGGUGAAUUGUGAUGUCUUGUGUGUUCAUACUUGAUAAUGGCUAAGGGGGUUGAUAGCAGCAGAAACAUGUGAGGAACAAUAUGUGAUUUAUGAAUAAUCAAAAUACAAUAUAGAGGGGUUUCUUCUAGCAACACAAUCAUAAAGUUCAUGCUUUAGCUUAAUGGUAUCACAAUACAGAGGGGUUUAUUCUAAACACUUACACAAUGUUCAAGAUAUGCUAAGUUUUAGAAAUUUCAAAUAUAACCUGCAUCCAUGCUAAUUGCUCUUUCUCUUCAAUCCGCUUCUAUUGGAUUUCUGGAAGUUGAAUGUAAGCUCUAGAAAUCAACUAUAUAUAUAUAUAUAUAUAUAUAUAUAUAUAUAUAUAUGU